UACGUAGGGUCCUAGCGUUGUCCGGAUUUAUUGGGCGUAAAGAGCUCGUAGGCGGUUCGGCAAGUCGGAUGUGAAAUCUCCACGCUUAACGUGGAGGGGCCAUUCGAAACUGCCGUGACUCGAGUCCGGUAGGGGAGUGUGGAAUUCCCGGUGUAGCGGUGAAAUGCGCAGAUAUCGGGAGGAACACCGGUGGCGAAGGCGGCAUCCUGGACCGAUAUUGACGCUGAGGAGCGAAAGCCAGGGGAGCAAACGGG
rnacentral:rRNA from 1 species